rnacentral:rRNA from 1 species
CGGGUCCUAAGCAAAGUCCGAAAGGGGUAUGCGAUGGAAAAUUGGUUAAUAUUCCAAUGCCAACUAUAAUGUGCGAUGGAAGGACGCUUAGAGUUAAGCAAGCUAGCGGAUGGUAGUGCUAGUCGAAAGGUGUAGGUUAAGAUCCAGGCAAAUCCGGAUCUUUUUAAGCCGAGACCCCACAGGCGUUUGAAGUUCUUCGGAAUGGAUAGCGAAUUGCUGAUACUGUCGAGCCAAGAAAAGUUUCUAAGUUUAGUUAUAGUUGCCCGUACCGUAAACCGACACAGGUGGGUGGGAUGAGUAUUCUAAGGCGCGUGGAAGAACUCUCUUCAAGGAACUCUGCAAAAUAGCACCGUAUCUUCGGUAUAAGGUGUGCCUAACUUUGUGAAGGAUUUACUCCGUAAGCAUUGAAGGUUACAACAAAGAGUCCCUCCCGACUGUUUACCAAAAACACAGCACUCUGCUAACUCGUAAGAGGAUGUAUAGGGUGUGACGCCUGCCCGGUGCUCGAAGGUUAAUUGAUGACGUUAGCUCUGCGAAGCGUUUGAUCGAAGCCCGAGUAAACGGCGGCCGUAACUAUAACGGUCCUAAGGUAGCGAAAUUCCUUGUCGAUUAAAUAUCGACCUGCAUGAAUGGCGUAACGAGAUGGGAGCUGUCUCGAAGAGGGAUCCAGUGAAAUUGUAGUGGAGGUGAAAAUUCCUCCUACCCGCGGCAAGACGGAAAGACCCCGUGGACCUUUACUACAGCUUGACACUGCUAUUGGGAUAAAAAUGUGCAGGAUAGGUGGGAGGCUUUGAUCCAUAGACGCCAGUUUAUGGUGAGCCGUUGUUGAGAUACCACUCUUUUUUAUUCUGAUAGCUAACUAGCUUGAGUUAUCCUCAAGUAGGACAAUGUCUGGUGGGUAGUUUGACUGGGGCGGUCGCCUCCCAAAAUGUAACGGAGGCUUACAAAGGUUGGCUCAGAACGGUUGGAAAUCGUUCGCAGAGUAUAAAGGCAAAAGCCAGCUUAACUGCGAGACAUACACGUCAAGCAGGGACGAAAGUCGGUCUUAGUGAUCCGGUGGUUCUGUGUGGAAGGGCCAUCGCUCAAAGGAUAAAAGGUACCCCGGGGAUAACAGGCUGAUCUCCCCCAAGAGCUCACAUCGACGGGGAGGUUUGGCACCUCGAUGUCGGCUCAUCGCAUCCUGGGGCUGAAGUCGGUCCCAAG